CAUUUGCAACAGAAUUAGAAUACUAUAUAUAGAUUCUGCACUCACAAAAUCAGAGGAUCCAAAAUCAUUUUCUUCAAAAACUUCUUCAUUCAAUAGCAGAGAAGAAACAGAAACGCAUCAUUUAUAUACGAAUACACAAAUCCUCUUCACUCAUUCAUCAAAACAUAAGCAACAAAAGGCCUCAAACACAGAGAAGUUUCACUCAUUCAUCAAAACGCAUGCAUCAAAGGCAUAACAAAACGCAGAGCAGCAUCACGCAAGCACCAAUUUCAGAAGCAAUUCACUCACGCAUGCAAGAAACAGCAAACAACGCAACAGAAGAAGCUCGUAGAAGGUGAAUUAGAAGAAGCUUAUAGGAUCGAUAGCUGUUUUUGCCCCGCGUCAAAACCGGGCUGCUUUGGGCAUGAUGGAGGAAUAAAGUUUUGAAGUUUAACAUGGUUUGACAUGUCUUGACAUGGAACUUGGAAUGGAAAUACAUCACGAUGGAACAUGAGAAUGGAAUUGAAGAAAUCUUAGAGCCACCCAUGAAAAUGAAAGAAAAGUAGUCUUAAGGUUCAGUUUGAUUUUGGUAAAUUGUUUGACCAAAAGUAAACCUUAGGAUUUCUUUAUGUAAUUUUCAAUUUGACCCUUUGUAAUGUAUUCUUGGAUUUUGCAUAUGAAUUUGACCUUGAAUGUACAACUUGUAGCUUAUUUUCCAAGAAUGCAUUUUCCCUCCAUUUUCAUAA